GUGGGAAGAAUUGCUGACUUCUUUUGGCUGGAAAGAAGGGAGUAAUAAAGAAAGCAAUGAUGACGUCCCAGUUGCAAAUUUUUCCAAUAAUCUAUUGCUGCCUAAUAAAGUAUUUUCAAAUUUAGUGACGGCAAAAUACAACCAUUUUAUAGGCUUAUAGUAUUCUGCGAGUUAGGAUUCAGACAGUAUAUUACUGACAUGAUUUGUUUUUGCUUCACAGAAUCUGGGACCUCAGGUGACCUGUCAGCUAAAGGAAAAGGCGUCCCCACCCAGACCCCAACAGAGGGUUCGUGGAUCUCUCUCAAGAAAGAAUUCAAGGCGAGUCCAGAGUGCAAAGCAAAAGCAAGUUUAUUAAGAAAGCACAGUGGUGAGAGGACAGCUACUCCAUAG
rnacentral:lncRNA from 13 species